CCUACGGGCGGCAGCAGUGAGGAAUAUUGGUCAAUGGGCGGAAGCCUGAACCAGCCAAGUAGCGUGCGGGAUGAAGGCCCUACGGGUCGUAAACCGCUUUUGCACGGGGAUAACACCCUCCACUUGUGGAGGUCUGCAGGUACCGUGCGACUAAGGACCGGCUAAUUCCGUGCAAGCAACCGCGGUAAUACGGAAGGCCCGAGCGUUAUCCGGAUUCAUUGGGCUUAAAGGGAGCGUAGGCGGGCGUUCAAGUCAGAGGGAAAACCGCGGGGCGCAACCGCGCCCCGCAGUUGAAACUGGACGCCUUGAGUGCACAACAGGCAGGCGGAAUUCGUGGUGUAGCGGUGAAAUGCAUAGAUAUCACGAGGAACCCCGAUUGCGAAGGCAGCCUGCCGGGGUGCGACUGACGCUGAGGCUCGAAGGUGCGGGUAUCAAACAGGAUUAGAUACCCUUGUAGUC
rnacentral:rRNA from 1 species